rnacentral:rRNA from 1 species
AUUAAAGAGUUCUAUAACUCCCAAACCCAUGUGAACAUACCUAACGUUGCCUCGGCAGGUCGCACCUACCUUGUAGCACCCUACCCUGUAGGGCCUACCCGGGAGGUGCGGGUAAGCCUGCCGGCGGCCCACCAAACUCUGUUUGAUAUUGAAUUCUGAACCUAUAACUAAAUAAGUUAAAACUUUCAACAACGGAUCUCUUGGUUCUGGCAUCGAUGAAGAACGCAGCGAAAUGCGAUAAGUAAUGUGAAUUGCAGAAUUCAGUGAAUCAUCGAAUCUUUGAACGCAUAUUGCGCCCAUUAGUAUUCUAGUGGGCAGGACCGUUCGAGCGUCAUUUCAACCCUUAAGCCUUCGUUGCUUAGUGUUGGGAGCCUACGGCAACGUAGCUCCUCAAAGUUAGUGGCGGAGUUGGUUCACACUCUAGACGUAGUAAUUUUUUAUCUCGCCUAUUAGUUGGACUAAUCCCCUGCCGUAAAACCCCCAAUUUAUCAAGGUUGACCUCGAAUCGGUUCAGACAAACUCGCUAAAUUGAAGCAUCUUAGUCAGCGAAGGAAAAGAAACCAACAGGGAUUGCCCUAGUAACGGCGAGUGAAGCGGCAACAGCUCAAAUUUGAAAUCUGGCCCUCG